GUCUUUAGGAUUUUAUCUUAAGUCUAAUCUGCUCACUGAAAUUUAAAGAGCCGCAGUAUUUUGACUGUGCAAAGGUAGCAUAAUCAAUAGUUUUUUAAUUGAAAACUUGAAUGAAUGAUUGGACGAUAAAUCAACUUUCUUAAUUUUAUAAUUUGAAUUUAAAAUUUAAGUCAAAAUACUUAAAUUUAAUUAAAAGACGAGAAGACCCUUUAGAUUUUUAUUAUUUAAAAAUUAUUAAUUUUAUUAAUUUUAAUAUAAUUUAAUUGGGGUGAUUAUGUAAAAAAAUUAACUUAGUUUUAAAUUUAAACCAUUUAUUAUUGAAUAUUUUGAUCUAAAAAUUUUAAUUACAAGAUUAAAUUACCUAAGGGAUAACAGCGUUAUAUUAUUUAAGAGUUCAUAUCUAUAAUAAUGAUUGCGACCUCGAUGUUGAAUUAAGAGAUAUACUGGGGUAGAAAUUAGUAAAUAUUAGUCUGUUCGACUAUUAAAUUCU
rnacentral:rRNA from 1 species